rnacentral:misc_RNA from 1 species
GAACUGCGAUAAGUAAUGUGAAUUGUAGAAUUCAGUGAAUCAUCGAAUCUUUGAACGCACAUUGCGCCCGCCAGUAUUCUGGCGGGCAUGCCUGUUCGAGCGUCAUUUCAACCAUCAAGCCCCCGGCUUGUGUUGGGGACCUGCGGCUGCCCGCAGGCCCUGAAAAACAGUGGCGGGCUCGCUGUCACACCGAGCGUAGUAGCAUACAUUCUCGCUCAGGGCGUGCUGCGGGUUCCGGCCGUUAAACGACCUUCAUAACCCAAGGUUGACCUCGGAUCAGGUAGGAAGACCCGCUGAACUUAAGC